GAUGAACGCUGACAGAAUGCUUAACACAUGCAAGUCGAUUCGAUUUACCUUCGGGUAUUGAGGAUGGCGGACGGGUGAGUAACGCGUAAGGAACUUGCCUCUUGGUCUGGGACAACUGUUGGAAACGACAGCUAAUACCGGAUAUUAUGAGAUUCUCGCAUGGGAAACUUAUGAAAGCUAUAUGCGCCAAGAGAGAGCCUUGCGUUCCAUUAGCUAGUUGGUGGGGUAACGGCCCACCAAGGCGACGAUGGAUAGCCGGCCUGAGAGGGUGAACGGCCACAAGGGGACUGAGACACGGCCCUUACUCCUACGGGAGGCAGCAGUGGGGAAUAUUGGACAAUGGGCCACAAGCCUGAUCCAGCAAUUCUGUGUGCACGAUGAAGGUCUUCGGAUUGUAAAGUGCUUUCAGUUGGGAAGAAGAAAGUGACGGUACCAACAGAAGAAGCGACGGCUAAAUACGUGCCAGCAGCCGCGGUAAUACGUAUGUCGCAAGCGUUAUCCGGAUUUAUUGGGCGUAAAGCGCGUCUAGGCGGAAAAAUGAGUCUGAUGUUAAAAUGCGGGGCUCAACUCCGUAUUGCGUUGGAAACUGUUUUUCUAGAGUACUGGAGAGGUGGGCGGAACUACAAGUGUAGAGGUGAAAUUCGUAAAUAUUUGUAGGAAUGNC
rnacentral:rRNA from 1 species